rnacentral:rRNA from 1 species
CCUACGGGUGGCAGCAGUGAGGAAUAUUGGUCAAUGGGCUUACGCCUGAACUAGCCAAGUCGCGUGAGGGAAGACUGCCCUAUGGGUUGUAAACCUCUUUUGUCAGGGAGCAACGCCGGCUACGUGUAGCCGGACGGAGAGAACCUGAAGAAAAAGCAGCGGCUAACGCAGUGCGAGCAGCCGCGGUAAUACGGAGGAUGCGAGGGUUAUCCGGAUUUAUGGGGUUUAAAGGGUGCGUAGGCGGAAUGCCAAGUCAGCGGUAAAAUCGCGGGGCUCAACCUCGCUCAGCCGUUGAAACGUGCGUUCUUGCGUGGGCGUGAAGUCUGCGGCAUGCGUGGUGUAGCGGU